UUUUUUUUUUCCUUUAAAUGUUGAAUUUGGGUAUUCUUUAUAUAGCUGAUAUCCUUAAAUCAUGAGAUUUUGGUGGUCACAGUGCCUUGCAUCUAGAGUUCAUAAGCAAAGCCUGAGCAAUACCAUACGGUUUCUAUGUAAGGUUCCUUUUUAAUAUAUAUGUAUUAAAUAUAUAUAUAUCAAUAUAUAUAUAUUUUAAGACUUUAUUUAUUCAUGAAAGACUCAGAGAUAGGCUGAGACCCAGGCAGAGGGAGAAGCAGGCUCCUCACAGGGAGCCCGAUGUCGAACUCAAUCCCAGAACUCUGGGACCACGCCCUGAGCCAAAGGCAGAUGCUCAACCACUGAGUCACCCAGGCAUCCUUCUUUCUAAUAUUUUAAUGUACCGUAACCCAAGCCCCCAACAAAACUGUGCUUACGUUGAAACACACAUUUUAGAUGAAAUAAUAAACCAAUGCUUUAAAAACUGACCUGGAAAUAGAGAUAUUUUGGUUAAAUUUGUAGAUUAUAUAGUCUUUUAUGAUAAUCUGUUAACACUUUAAAAAUAUUUCAGUUAUAUUCAUUAGUGAGUAGGUGCAUGGUUGUACCUAAAUAGUGACAAUUAGUUAAUCUUUGUCAAGUUGAAGGGAGGAGGCCUGUGGCUUUUUGCAUACUUUUCCUUGGCCCAGUACCAUUCGACAUUUUAAUUAGUAACUUAGAUGAAAUUACAAAAGGCAACUUUGUAAAUUUGUGGAUGAGGAGCUGAGAGACUCCAGAUUUAGGAAUCAAAACUAUCCUGAGUGGCUGGAACUAGGAAUGAAUUUAGAAAAAUUAAGAGGGAUUAAGGCAUAGUGUCAUAUAUGAGCCAAAAACCCAACUCAACUUUGUGAAAAAGGAGAGAUAAGGCAAAACAGCAUAGUUAGAAAAGACAGGAUUUUUAGCUCAUUUUAGUUAAAUAUCAACUCAGCAAUGUCAUGUGACUACUAAAAAUAGCUCUUAACAUAUUAAUUACAAGGGAGGAGAUAUCCCAACUGUGCUAAUAAGACCUAAAUGGAUUAGAAGUAUCACAUGCAGUUAUGGGUACCAUACUUUAAAAUACAGACCAUACCUCUUAAAUAGCCAUUGAAGGAAGAAGGGAUUAAGGUAUAAAAACAAAAAAGUCAUCAGGGACAGAAGAGUUCCCUGGAAAUAUAUAAAAGAGCUGUCAUGUGGGGGAGGGAAUAGAUGGACUCUAUCUCAGUGUUUAGAACCAGGAGUGCUGAUGAAAAUUGAAAUAGCACACACACACAAAAUUCAAUUUUUGAAAACCAGAAAAAUCUAGCCUAUGCACCAUGCCCUAAUUAUGCCCUAACCAAAUCAAUCAAAAUUUUCUGUGUAUUCCUUCUCCGCAGGUUACUUGGCUUCCAAUUUUUGAGGUUAGGUUUUAUCUUGAUGACUUCAGGCUUCUUAAACACCCAGACAACACUUAAAACCUAGGGUCAAAUCAAAAAGUGGAAGGAUACUGAACUCAUUCAACUGCAAACGGCAGGACCUCUCACAGGUUACUGAUAUCGAGGUAGAAAAGAUAGGACAGAGCUUCUAUCAUAGAUUAUCAAAAUAUUAGUUUGUCCUAAAUGAUCCUAAAAUUAUUAGCAAGAAGAAAUAGUACAGGUUUAUGUCUACAUUGGCUCUAUGUCAUAAUUAUUCUCCAUGCUGGUAUCCUCGGAUAGGGAAAUAGAUUUUUAAAUCAAUCUAGAGAAUGGACAGCACUGUCUAGAGAUGAAGAACAUUGCUGGGUAGGGAUUAGGUUCCCUCAUCAUCAGUAGACAAUUUUUGAUUGUGAGAUAUGUGUCUAUUUAAUGUCUUUAUUUGGGGAAUUUGAAGCAUAACCAGGCAUAAUCAUUCUUUUCAAUCUAGAGAUUCAUGAAUUGUAUGACAUCAAAUUCUAAAAGAUAAAGGAUGCCUGGGUGACUCAGUCUCCAAAUAUUGAUUUCGGCUCAGGUCAUGACCUCAGGGUCAUGGGAUCAAGUCCCAGGAAGGGCAUCGUGCUCAGCAGGGAGCAUGCUUGAGCUCUCUCCCUCUGAUCCUCCUCCUGAGCAAGUGUGCACACUCCCUCUCAUUCUCUCUCUGGGAGAGAGGGAGAGGGAAGAGGGAAAAAAGAAGGAAGAGGGAGAGGGAGAGGGAGAGAAUAACCAAGGGCACAGACUUAUGCGGGGCUGGAUCCUGGAUCCUGAGAUCAUGACCUGAGCCAAAAUCAAGAGUCCGAUGCUUAACCAACUGAGCCACCCAGGCGCCCCUUUAAAAUUUUUAAAAGAUUAAGAAUGAAAUUGAUAACAAGAGUAAAGACAGCAUAAUUUUCCAGGAAAAGGAUGAGAAGGGACAAGCCAAGCAAAGGAAUUUCAUUUUUAAAAAUAAAUCUGGGUCUUUGAAAUUGAAAAAAAAAAAAAAAAGAUCCAGGGGAAAAGGGGAGAAAAAGCAGGAGAUUGGGGACUGGGCUUUCAGAGAUGGGAGUUGAGACUGUAGAGAACAGUGAGAUGUUUGUGAGGAUUGGUAACAUCAAAGAUGAUCGAUUCUCCUGUUCUCCCAAUUGGCUGUAAGUUUUCCUCAUAUAUUAGGAAAUUAAGUAUUUGACUGGGGUGGGGAGGGUGAGCAGAGAAUUACAGACCUGAUGAAACCAGCUCUCGCUGCUGGCUACUGCCACCACCACAUCCAGUCCUUCAUAGUGAUGCCAACUUCGUUAGCCUAACUUCCAGCAAAUCAAGUCUUGCUUCUUGUCUCAUUCCCACAUCAGCUCUGUCUUAUGCUGUCAUAAUUUGAGUGUU
rnacentral:lncRNA from 1 species